UUUUUUUUUCCUUCAAUCAGAGGUUUGACCAGUAUAGAGGUGAUAAAACCUUGCCUGCGAGCCUCGAACCCUCAUCCAGUGCAGAGGAGAUGCCCACCUCACUGAGCUUGAACGCGAAAAUCCGAGCCAUCGAGGCGAAGCUGCAGAUGAUGGAGGAGAACCCGGAUGAGCAGUACUCGGGCCCCUCCGUGUACCUUUACAACAAGCCUCCUGAGAAGAAGCGUCCGGCGCCCUACGGCAAGCAUCACCGCAAAUACCGGCGAUGACGCAGACACGUGUGCCCGGCGCACGCUCGCGGAGCAGGACCCGCUGCAGUAGCCUUGGGACCGUCACAAAGUGCUACAAUCAGAUUCUCUGUUCUCUGCAGCAUUGUGAAACGUGAAAUUUAGGCUGGAGGGCCUGGCUGGUCACGUGGGAAUCUAGCUACCAGUUGGCUGGACGUCAGCGAGCCAGCCACGGUGCUUUGUGACUGUUACACCAAGGUUCUUGGCUAGGAUGCAAGCAACACAGAAUGCUACUGUUUUGUCUAAACAACUUUCUCAAAAUUUUUGACCUAUUUUUUUUUUUUUUUAAAGAAUUUUUAAGUUUUUACCAUUGGCUACAGAGAAUUUUUAAUGAAUAAACCUUACAAUUCUAGAUUUACUGUGGCCUUCUCGAUAUUUUUUGACCUUCGAACCUUAGAAAUUGGAAUUGUAUGCAAAUGUGUACUGCGUGUCCCCCUGACAUUAAAAUAGGAGGUCCUUGAGUGCUUAAUGUAAUUUAGCUGUGUCUUCCUGUGCUCAAUUUUUCACAUUUGGUCAUAGCUUUGAUAUGGCAGUAGUGAUGUUCUUUUUGUUUGGAUUGUAAGACCAGUCAGAAGACUUUGGAUUCAUUAAUCAUUAGCUGAAACUAAACAUUUAAUUCUUUUGAAUGUAUAUAUGCCAUUCCCCACCCCCCACACAAGUACUUUUAGGAGAGGACUCCAUUGAGUUUGACAAACAUUUGUCUCUGCAGUUAUCACCAGCAUUUGUUUUCAUUUUAUUUAAUAAAAGUAUUGGCGAUAUAAUACACUAAGUUUGCAAUAGCUAAGCCUAUUGCCUUCCGGUGCUGUUUGCCAUGUGCUUGUGUGUUUGUCUGUUCUGUACUAAAUGGACUGUCUACUUCCCCACUGUGUUAUUCUGCUAAAACAAGAAACUUUUCAAACCUGCUCAUAUGAGUAAUGGUGUUUUUUUUAAGGACCAGAGUUCAAGAUGAGAGCAGCACAAAAGGGAUAAUAGAUAUUUUUUUUUUGCUGUGCUCAUUUGGUUCUAAUGAGAUAGCAGAUUUUUUUUCAGCUUGGUAAUGGAAAAAUAGAUUGAAUUGUUGUAAACAUGCAAAUCAUAUUGCUGAAAUAAAUGAAUCUCAUGUCCUUUUUUUCCUUUGAGAGAAUCAUGUGUCAUAUGUUUCCUAUGUGAAAAGAACGCUGUGUUGAUUUGCAGGGGUUUUUGGUUUUGGGGGUGUGCGAGGGUGCACCGUAAAAUUCUGUAGUAUGCUGUAGUUUUUCUUGUUUUUUUUUUUUGUUUGUUUUUUUUUUAAAACAAAGGAUUUGCCUUCUUUUUGUUAGCGUGCUGCUAGUUUACUUUAUGCAUAUGAUUGAUUUUUAUUUUUUUUAUUAUUUAAGCUUAUAAAUUUUCUAUAAAUGCUUAUGAUCAGAAGGUCGUUGGUUCAAAUCCCAGCACUGGCAGAGUGGUGACACCAUUGGGCCCUAGAGCAUGACUCUUACUCUCUGGGCACUCCAGGGACUGUCUAACCCUGCUUUCUCAAAAUGUUUGCCACUUUAGAUGAAUGCAUCUGCUAAAUGAAUGAACUGUAGAUGCUUAUCCCGUUUUGGAUCAUGGUGAACCAGGAAGCAGAAAGACCAAGGCAGUGUUUACCUGGGAUGGGGUGCCAGUUCGUAUGGGAUUGUGGGUAAUUGAGAGGCUUGCCCAUAGAUUGUACAUGCAAGUAUCAUGCAUGAAGCCUGGACCUGCUAUGGGACAGUGCUGACCGCUGAGACACUGAUCAGCCCUAACAUGACGUAGCACUGCGCUGUGCUGCUGUCACUGCUCAGCUCUUACAAACCAGUCAUUUCUUGGUUUCUGGAACCCUAAAGUUGUCUGUAAUGUUUUUUCUCCUAAAAAUUUAAUUUGGUAUUGGAGCUAUAUUAAAGAUCUGCAGAAUGAAUGUGUUA